CGUGUAGGCGGUCAGGUAAGUGGAAUGUGAAAUGCCCCGGGCUCACCCGGGGGACCGGCAUCCCAAACUGCCUGGCUUGAGUAUGGGAGAGGAUGGAGGAAUUCCUGGUGUAGCGGUGAAAUGCGUAGAUAUCAGGAGGAACACCGGUGGCGAAGGCGUCCAUCUGGCCCAAUACUGACGCUGAGGCGCGAAAGCUAGGGGAGCAAACG
rnacentral:rRNA from 1 species